rnacentral:rRNA from 1 species
CCUACGGGCGGCUGCAGUGGGGAAUAUUGCACAAUGGGCGCAAGCCUGAUGCAGCCAUGCCGCGUGUGUGAAGAAGGCCUUCGGGUUGUAAAGCACUUUCAGCGGGGAGGAAGGCGGUGAGGUUAGUAACCUCAUCGAUUGACGUUACCCGCAGAAGAAGCACCGGCUAACUCCGUGCCAACAGCCGCGGUAAUACGGAGGGUGCAAGCGUUAAUCGGAAUUACUGGGCGUAAAGCGCACGCAGGCGGUCUGUCAAGUCGGAUGUGAAAUCCCCGGGCUCAACCUGGGAACUGCAUUCGAAACUGGCAGGCUAGAGUCUUGUAGAGGGGGGUAGAAUUCCAGGUGUAGCGGUGAAAUGCGUAGAGAUCUGGAGGAAUACCGGUGGCGAAGGCGGCCCCCUGGACAAAGACUGACGCUCAGGUGCGAAAGCGUGGGGAGCAAACAGGAUUAGAUACCCGAGUAGUC